rnacentral:rRNA from 1 species
AACCCUUGUGAUUAGUUGCUACGCAAGAGCACUCUAAUCAGACUGCCGUUGACAAAACGGAGGAAGGUGGGGACGACGUCAAAUCAUCAUGCCCUUUAUGACCUGGGCUACACACGUACUACAAUGGUCGUUAACAGAGGGAAGCAAUACCGCGAGGUGGAGCAAAACCCUAAAAACGGUCUCAGUUCAGAUUGUUUGCCGCAACUCGCCUACAUGAAGUUGGAAUUGCUAGUAAUCGCGGAUCAGCAUGCCGCGGUGAAUACGUUCCCGGGCCUUGUACACACCGCCCGUCACACCAUGGGAGCCGGAAAUGCCCGAAGCCAGUGACCUAACCGAAAGGGAGGAGCUGUCGAAGGUGGAGCCGUAACUGGGGUGAAUUCGUACCAGUUCGCC